rnacentral:rRNA from 1 species
UACGGAGGGUGCGAGCGUUGUCCGGAAUCACUGGGCGUAAAGGGCGCGUAGGCGGCGCGGGGAGUCAACGGUGAAAGCUCGGCGCUCAACGCCGAGUCGGCCGUCGAUACUCCCGUGCUCGAGCACUGUAGAGGCAGGUGGAAUUCCGGGUGUAGCGGUGGAAUGCGUAGAGAUCCGGAAGAACACCUGUGGCGAAAGCGGCGCACUGGACCACAACUGACGCUGAGGCGCGAAAGCUAGGGGAGCAAACAGG